GCUAGGCAUGGUGGCACAUGCCUGUAAUUUCAGCAGCUCAGGAGGCUGAGACAGGAGGAUGGCGAGUUCAAACCCAGUCUCAGCAAAAAGCAAGAUGCUAAGCAACUCAGUGAAAUCCUGUCUCUA
rnacentral:sRNA from 1 species